UGAUGUUGACACUUAAUUUCCAGAUGU
rnacentral:piRNA from 1 species